rnacentral:rRNA from 1 species
CCUACGGGGUGCAGCAGCAGGGAAUUUUCCACAAUGGGGGCAACCCUGAUGGAGCAACGCCGCGUGCAGGACGAAGGCCUUCGGGUUGUAAACUGCUUUUAAGAGUGACGAUUAUGACGGUAGCUCUUGAAUAAGGAUUGGCUAACUCCGUGCCAGCAGCCGCGGUCAUACGGAGGAUCCAAGCGUUAUCCGGAAUUACUGGGCGUAAAGAGUUGCGUAGGUGGCAGAGUAAGUUGGUAGUGAAAGCGUACAGCUCAACUGUAUAUCCAUUACCAAAACUGCUCAGCUUGAGGACGAGAGAGGUAGAUGGAAUUCCUAGUGUAGGGGUAAAAUCCGUUGAUAUUAGGAGGAACACCGAUGGCGUGAGCAGUCUACUGGCUCGUUCCUGACACUCAGGCACGAAAGCGUGGGGAG